CGCGUCUGAAAUUUUAAUGAGCUGGUAAAUUGUGUGGAACUAAAAUAAAAUUUCGCGAAUUCUGCGAAUUGCAAUAAGUAACGGAGUGUAGAAAAUAUAAAAUGCAGUUAAUUAACAAAAAAUUAAGCUUUGACAGUUGAAGUAACUGCGACAACACAAAAACACCUUAAUGAAGCACUUCAUAGAUAAACAUAUGCACAUGUCAGUAGCAAAUACGACGCAGCUCACAAAAGUUUAUAUAAAUGUACGGAUGUAUACAUUUGUAUGACUUCACUAGCAAACUAAAUUAACAUUUUUAUCGACAUACAUAUGUGCAUAUAUAUUUGUACACAUAUGCCACUAAAGUAGAAUAUUAAAAUUAGAAAUUGUGGAAACGCGUGGAAAAACCCCGGAGAAGCAGCGCUGAAGGUGGCCAAAAUAAUAUGAGGAUAUCACGCGCUGUAUAAAAACAUGACGAAAUCACGGCAAAGAAUUUUGGUAUAAACAAAGAGCAAAGACGUGGACAGCAUGGAUAUUGUCAUAUCUAACAAGGCUCCCACACAAAAUGGUUACUGGUGUAUAGCACAUAUGUAUAUCUUAAUAAUUCCCGAAAAAUAAUGACGACGGGGGUCUAUUAUGUACGCAGCAGUCUACCAACGGCACAGCAGGAGGCGGAAAAAUAUGGAAAAAUUAAAAUUAUUCGAGCUUAUGAAUUGCAAAUGGGAAUAAUGUGAUUUUUUUACGAUGAUAAGGUUGAUAAAUAUGACUUACAAAUAAAUAUGUGUUAUCUAGUAUUUUAGUA